rnacentral:rRNA from 1 species
UACGUAGGGUGCAAGCGUUGUCCCGGAAUUAUUGGGCGUAAAGAGCUCGUAGGCGGUUUGUCGCGUCUGCUGUGAAACCCGAGGCUCAACCUCGGGCCUGCAGUGGGUACGGGCAGACUAGAGUGCGGUAGGGGAGAUUGGAAUUCCUGGUGUAGCGGUGGAAUGCGCAGAUAUCAGGAGGAACACCGAUGGCGAAGGCAGGUCUCUGGGCCACUACUGACGCUGAGAAGCGAAAGCAUGGGAGCGAACAGG